rnacentral:rRNA from 1 species
GUCUACAGCCAUGCCACCCUGAACAAGCCUGAUGUUUGAUUUUGGAAGCUAAGCGGGGUCGGGCCUGGUUAGUACUUGGAUGGGAGGAUACCUAGGAAGACCAGGUAUUGUAGGCA